rnacentral:rRNA from 1 species
CCUACGGGAGGCAGCAGUGGGGAAUAUUGGACAAUGGGCGCAAGCCUGAUCCAGCCAUACCGCGUGUGUGAAGAAGGCCUUUUGGUUGUAAAGCACUUUAAGCGAGGAGGAGGCUCUUGAGGAUAAUACCCUUGAUGAGUGGACGUUACUCGCAGAAUAAGCACCGGCUAACUCUGUGCCAGCAGCCGCGGUAAUACAGAGGGUGCGAGCGUUAAUCGGAAUUACUGGGCGUAAAGCGCGCGUAGGCGGCUUGUUAAGUCGGAUGUGAAAUCCCCGGGCUCAACCUGGGCACUGCAUUCGAUACUGGCAAGCUAGAGUAUGGGAGAGGAAGGUAGAAUUCCAGGUGUAGCGGUGAAAUGCGUAGAGAUCUGGAGGAAUACCGAUGGCGAAGGCAGCCUUCUGGCCUAAUACUGACGCUGAGUGNGAGANANGGAGANACAGAUAGAUAC